rnacentral:rRNA from 1 species
CCCUUAGAUGUUCUGGGCCGCACGCGCGCUGCACUGAUGCAUUCAACGAGUCUAAAACCUGCUCUGAUAGGGGUGGGUAAUCUUUUGAAUGUGCAUCGUGAUUGGGAUAGAUGAUUGCAAUUUUUCAUCUUCAACGAGGAAUGCCUAGUAAACGCAAGUCAUCAGCUUGCAUUGAUUACGUCCCUGCCCUUUGUACACACCGCCCGUCGCUCCUACCGAUUGAAUGAUCCGAUGAAUAUCAUGGAUUGAGGAUUAUAGCAGGUUCGCCUGUCUUGAUCUUCGAGAAGUGAAGUAAAUCUUAUCAUUUAGAGGAAGGAGAAGUCGUAACA